rnacentral:rRNA from 1 species
UACCACUUCCAAGGAAGGCAGCAGGCGCGCAACUUACCCUAAUCUCGAUUCGAGGAGGUAGUGACAAGAAAUACCGAUGCGGGACCCUACGGGUGCCGCGUUCGGAAUGAGUACGAUUCGAACCACCUAACGAGGAACGAUCGGAGGGCAAGUCUGGUGCCAGCAGCCGCGGUAAUUCCAGCUCCAAUAGCGUACGUUAAAGUUGCUGCAGUUAAAAAGCUCGUAGUUGAACGUUCGGGUUCCGCGGGACGGGGCCGCCCCGCGAGGGACGGCGCCGCCCCGGGGCUCGUGAUAUCUCAUCUCGCCGCCCGUCGCGAGGCGGACGGAGGGAUGGAUGAGGUUACCUGGAAAAAAUCGGGGCGAUCUAGGCGGGCGAACCUCGCCAACGAACGAUCGGACAUGGGAUAACGGAAGAGGGCGUCGGCUCGACUUCGUCGGUUCCUCGGGCCGAGGCACGUACGGUGAAUAGGGACGGUCGGGGCCGCCCGUACCGGGUCGUGAGAGGUGAAAUUCUAGGAUCGACCCGAGACGAACCGCCGCGAAAGCAUUCGGCAAGGACGCUUUCAUUAAUCAAGAACGAAAGUCGGGGGAUCGAAGACGAUCAGAUACCGUCGUAGUCCCGACCGUAAACGAUGCCGACCGAGGGCCCGGAGGAGUUACGUACGACCCUCCGGGCCCUCCCGCGAGAAAUCAGGAGUAUUCGGGUUCCGGGGGGAGUAUGGUCGCAAGGCCGAACUUAAAGGAAUUGACGGAAGGGCACCACCAGGAGUGGAAAUGUGCGG